GCUCAGAGUAUAAGCCAAUGGAGCUUGGAAGGCUUCCGCAGAUGGUGUCCAUCAUACGUGGUGUUCUUAAGACCUUGAGUGUGGCUCGUCAGGCGAAGCAUUGAGUUUGCCGGGUAGCUGUCGUGCGGGGGUUCGGCUUGGAGGUCUUAGGCUUCGGCCGAAGGGCUUCCGGCUGUCCCCUUUUGAAUGGACGUUCAGAGCUCUUGUGUCUAAUGCGGUUAUGCCCACCACAGCACGUUGUGAGGUCACCCACAGGCUCAAACUGCCGAUCGCGCAUCCAGGACGAUGGCAACGAUGCGUUGUUGAUGAUGGCUCGAGACCGAGACUUCACUCACACGCGUGUCUAGUCCUGGGUCGGGCGGCGACCGAGAUAAACCUGGUAUGAUCCUCUUGCGACGAGCUGCUUUCUGGCCAGACCGACGUCCAGGCGCUUCCACUGUGCCGGAAGCGUCUAUCCCAGGCGGUGUGAACCCAGCUGCAUUAUGCAAGGUCUCUCAGCCGGGCGUUGGUCUGAGUGGUGUUAAGUCCAGCACCAUCGGUCACGUCUCGAAACACGGGCCAAGGAGUAUAGCAUGUGUGCAAGUCUAAGGGUCUCACAAAACCCGAAGGCGAAGUGAAAGCAAGACUGUGGCGGGGGAGCUACGGCAAACCCGCCGGCCUAGUGGCGCGUGCGUCGCCUGGCUUUUAGCAGAGCUGAUCCUGUUUAUCGGUUGAUUCUUGGUGCAGGCGCAAGCUCCGGGCUCACGUACAACACUGUCACGCCUCGUG
rnacentral:rRNA from 1 species